rnacentral:rRNA from 1 species
AUUGAACGCUGGCGGCAGGCCUAACUCAUGCAAGUCGAGCGGAUGAAGGGAGCUUGCUCCUGUAUUCAUCGGCGCACGGGUGUGUAAUGCCUAGUAAUCUGCCUGGUUGUGUGGGAUAACGUCCUGAAACGGGCGCUAAUACCGCAUACGUCCUGAGGGAGAUAGUGUGGGAUCUUCGGACCUCACGCUAUCACGUUAGCCUAGGUCGGAUUUGAUAGUUUGUGGGGUAAAGGCCUACCAAGGCGACUAUCCGUAACUGGUCUGAGAGGAUGAUCAGUCACACUGGAACUGAGAAACGGACCAGAAGAAUAGGGGAGGCAGCAGUGGGGAAUAUUGGAAAAUGGGCGAAAGGAUGAUACAGCCAUGCAGCGUGUGUGAAGAAGGUGUAAGGAUUGUAAAGCACUUUAAGUUGGGAGGAAGGGCAGUAAGUUAAUACCUUGCUGUUUUGACGUUACAAACAGAAUAAGCACCGGCUAACUACGUG